CGUUGAAACACCUGUUUCCGUACGUUCACUGAAGUUAAGCAACGUCGAGCCUGAUCAGUACCUAAAUGGGUGACCGCUUGGGGAUGUCAAGGGUUGUAAG